rnacentral:lncRNA from 1 species
UCAGAUUCUGCUCUCUUCUCUCAUGGGGACAUGAACCCAUAGUCUUGCCUCCCCAACAAAUGAUAAGCCCCUUUGGUUAAAAUUCUUAAGUACCCUCUGCCUCCGUUUCUCCAUCUGUACAAUGGGUGUCAGCUACUUAGGGCUGUUACGGGGAUUCAAUGAGAGAAUACACACAAGUGCUUUACCACAAAGCCUGGCAAUAGUGUGCACUCAAAACGAUUUGCUUUUCCUCUUUUACAGCAUGGUGAUGCUGAGCAUCGCUGGGCAUGGAGUGAGGCCCCUGCGUCGUGGCUUCCAUUCCCAGUAGUGUCUGCUCUGAUUCCCUGCAGUCUGCUCUAAGUUCAGCCACUCACACCCCCAGCCUUGUUGAUCCAGCUGGGAGGCGAUGUUGAAAGCAGGGUACUCAGAAGGGAAUGAUGCGGACAGUAAUGGCAAGAAAAAUAAAGGAAUCCCAAGAAAGGCAAGGUCUUCAGAGACUCUGCUUGGAGAGAAGUUAUGCUUCAGCCUUCCAGGAGUUCUAGAGCAGAGGCACCCAACCCCUGGACCUCAGACUGGUACAGCCCACAGCCUGUUAGGAACCAGACCACACGGCAGGUGAUCUGGAGGUGAGCAACAGGUGAGUGAGUGAAGCUUCAUCUGCUGCUCCCCAUGGCUCCCCACUGGUCACAUUACUGCCUGAAUCAGGCACCCCCUCCCAGCCCCUAGUCCAUAGGUUGGGGACCGCUGUUCUAGAGGAUUCCACUCCAGAUAAAUAAGAAAUGUGGUCUGAACUUCAGCUAAAUGCACAAAGCUUUCAGAUCAGCCCACCCUUGUAUCAGGGAUUGGAAAUGAAGGGAAA